CCUACGGGAGGCAGCAGUGAGGAAUAUUGGUCAAUGGGCGCGAGCCUGAACCAGCCAAGUAGCGUGAAGGAUGACUGCACAACGGGUUGUAAACUUCUUUUGUCAAGGAAUAAAGUGAGGCACGAGUGCCUGUUUGUGUGUACUUUAUGAAUAAGGAUCGGCUAACUCCGUGCCAGCAGCCGCGGUAAUACGGAGGAUCCGAGCGUUAUCCGGAUUUAUUGGGUUUAAAGGGAGCGUAGAUGGGUUGUUAAGUCAGUUGUGAAAGUUUGCGGCUCAACCGUAAAAGGGCAAUUGAUACUGGCAGGCUUGAGUUCAGUUGAGGUAGGCGGAAUGCGUGGUGUAGCGGUGAAAUGCUUAGAUAUCACGAAGAACUCCGAUUGCGAAGGCAGCUUACCAAA
rnacentral:rRNA from 1 species